CAAUAGCGUAUAUUAAAGUUGUUGCGGUUAAAAGCUCGUAGUUGGAGUUCUGCCAGGUGCCGCCUGUCCGCCCACUGGUGAGUACGUGGCGCGCAUUUGGCCCUUUCAAGGGGAGCGUAUCUGCACUUUAUUGUGUGGUGCGGGAUCCUUGACUUUUACUUUGAGGAAAUAGGAGUGUUCCAAGCAGGCUCUCGUCGUGCACAGCUCAGCAUGGAAUAAUAGCAUUGGACCUCGAUUCUAAGCUGUUGGUUGCCAGAAGCGAGGUAAUGAUGAAGAGGGAUAGUUGGGGCAUUGCGUAUUUAAUCUGUCAGAGGUGAAAUUCUUGGAUUUGAUUAAAGAUCGGUAACUACUGCGAAAGCAUUUGCCAAGGAU
rnacentral:rRNA from 1 species